rnacentral:ncRNA from 1 species
AAUAGGUUUGGUCCUAGCCUUUCUAUUAGCCCUUAGUAAGAUUACACAUGCAAGCAUCCCCGCCCCGGUGAGUCACCCUCUAAAUCGCCAUGAUCAAAAGGAACAAGUAUCAAGCACGCAGCAAUGCAGCUCAAAACGCUUAGCCUAGCCACACCCCCACGGGAGACAGCAGUGAUAAACCUUUAGCAAUAAACGAAAGUUUAACUAAGCCAUACUAACCCUAGGGUUGGUCAAUUUCGUGCCAGCUACCGCNNNNNNNNNAUUWACCCAAGUCAAUAGAAACCGGCGUAAAGAGUGUUUUAGAUCAACCCCCCCCCCCCAAUAAAGCUAAAAUUCACCUGAGUUGUAAAAAACUCCAGCUGAUACAAAAUAAACUACGAAAGUGGCUUUAACACAUCUGAAUACACAAUAGCUAAGACCCAAACUGGGAUUAGAUACCCCACUAUGCUUAGCCCUAAACUUCAACAGUUAGAUUAACAAAACUGCUCGCCAGAACACUACGAGCCACAGCUUAAAACUCAAAGGACCUGGCGGUGCUUCAUAUCCCUCUAGAGGAGCCUGUUCUGUAAUCGAUAAACCCCGAUCAACCUCACCGCCUCUUGCUCAGCCUAUAUACCGCCAUCUUCAGCAAACCCUGAUGAAGGUUACAAAGUAAGCGCAAGUAUCCACGUAAGGACGUUAGGUCAAGGUGUAGCCUAUGAGGUGGCAAGAAAUGGGCUACAUUUUCUACCCCAGAAAAUUACGAUAACCCUUAUGAAACCUAAGGGUCGAAGGUGGAUUUAGCAGUAAACUAAGAGUAGAGUGCUUAGUUGAACAGGGCCCUGAAGCGCGUACACACCGCCCGUCACCCUCCUCAAGUAUACUUCAAAGGAUACUUAACUUAAACCCCCUAUGCAUUUAUAUAGAGGAGAUAAGUCGUAACAUGGUAAGUGUACUGGAAAGUGCACUUGGACGAAC